GGAGAGGUGCCCGGAGCGGCUCAUCGGGGACCAGAGAAUGGUCGGGCCCACAAAGCCCACGCAGGUUCGAAUCCUGCCCUCUCCG
rnacentral:tRNA from 1 species